rnacentral:rRNA from 1 species
AUUGAACGCUGGCGGCAUGCCUUACACAUGCAAGUCGAACGGCAGCACGGGGGCAACCCUGGUGGCGAGUGGCGAACGGGUGAGUAAUGCAUCGGAACGUGCCCAGUAGUGGGGGAUAACCAGUCGAAAGACUGGCUAAUACCGCAUACGACCCAAGGGUGAAAGCGGGGGACCGUAAGGCCUCGCGCUAUUGGAGCGGCCGAUGUCUGAUUAGCUAGUUGGCGGGGUAAGAGCCCACCAAGGCGACGAUCAGUAGCUGGUCUGAGAGGACGACCAGCCACACUGGGACUGAGACACGGCCCAGACUCCUACGGGAGGCAGCAGUGGGGAAUUUUGGACAAUGGGCGCAAGCCUGAUCCAGCCAUGCCGCGUGCGGGAAGAAGGCCUUCGGGUUGUAAACCGCUUUUGGCAGGAACGAAACGGCGCAAGCCAAUACCUUGCGCUAAUGACGGUACCUGCAGAAUAAGCACCGGCUAACUACGUGCCAGCCGCCACAGUAAGAC